rnacentral:lncRNA from 1 species
AAUUUAUUAGGCAGAGGAUCUAAAUAGAAAAUAUUACAACUAGCUUUGAAAAAUCAAAUGAACAAUUGACUGAUGUAUUCAGCAAGUCAUUAAGAGGUCCUCAAUAUAAAUUGUGAAUUUAUUAGGCAGAGGAUCUAAAUAGAAAAUAUUACAACUAGCUUUGAAAAAUCAAAUGAACNGAAAAUAUUACAACUAGCUUUGAAAAAUCAAAUGAACAAUUGACUGAUGUAUUCAGUAAGUCAUUAAGAGGUCCUCAAUAUAAAAUGUGACUUCUUGACUUCUAUCCUUGUACACAGAUAAGGCUUGGUAAAUAUGACUUCUAUCCUCUAGCUUGAGAGGGAGUGAGAACUAUGAAAAUAGGGUAAUGUGUUUACAUCUUGUGUUUCACCACUAAAUAUAAAAUGUACUCCAAUGUGUAAUUGGCAUUGAUCCACUUAAAUUUUCUCUCCCUUUUACUGAAGCAACAAUGACUACUCCAUAAAAAGUUUGCUUAGUUACCUCUCUCAAAUAUCAAUUCUUAACAUAUUUAAUAAAGUUUAGGACCUCNUAACUUUCUCCUUGAAACUGUCAACAUGACUGUUACUAUUCAAAAUAUGCUAAUAAUAUACAGCUCCAAAUGACAUUUGUUACUAUACAUUUUAACAUGUAACUUACUUUUUUCUCUUUUAUUUUAGGCAACUCAAAAGAGAAGCUCAACGGGUCAAUAAUCAUGUUCUGGUCACAAGAUCCUGGUUCUUCAAUAAGAAAAAGACUCGGUUCCCAUAAAUAUACUUCAGCCUGACUUUUAAUUUUAACUGACUAAAUUGUCCAAAGAUUUAAUAUACUAUCAGUUAGAACACAAAANUUAAAUCUAGAAAAGAAAAGGAACACCCAAAUACAGUGACUCCAAAUGAAAAGCUACCACCAGUAGGUUCUAAAUUGCACCCUCCACCAUCAAUUCAUGUUAUUAAUUUUCAUUAAAGUAUAGCAAGCAAGGAAAUUCAC